UCAAACUGUGUGUGGCUCAGUUCAUGUCACAGUGUUGUUUAGUAUAUCUUCACUUGUCUCACUCUCCUUCUGUUCUGUCCAUCAGGACGAUCCUCAGCGCUUACACAGAUCCUCCAUCGAUGUUUUGGAUCCAAUCAGUGAUCAGUUCUACGAGGAGGCCUGGAUGUUCACCAGCGCUCGCUACACCUCCAUCUACCAGAAGAUGUUGACUGUGACCUCAGAGGCCAACUGGACCACACAGCUGCAGCAGGAGUGAGGGAGAGGAGUCUUCAUCCAGCUUCAAAGAAAACAUCCAGUUAGAAACCCUGCAGCAACCCGACCCAAAACUGUGUCUUCUUGUUGGCCUCAACGUUGAAGUGUCAAACGUCCAACAUCUGGAAAGGAAACCACGCCAGUGUACUGUGAUGUUUCACCAACAUGUGGCAGACGCUGGUCCUGCCUUUCAUGCUGACAUCAGCAGAGAGCCCCGCCUACCUCAAAGCCUCCCCUGUCAUGUAUUGAUCAGGAUGAUUAUGAAGAUGAGCGAGUGCAAAUAAGACUGUAAAAGUCCACGAGCAGAAUGUUUGGAUGCUUUCUAAUGAUUCAUGAAUAUCAUGAGAGUGUUUGUGUGUUUUGUCUUUUCUUUGCUGACGUUUGUUACUAACAAAGACAAUUUACGCUCUGUGUGUGUUUUCAUCCUUACCAGCCGCACUCUAACUGCAAUGAAGGAAACAAACUGUAGAAAUGGUCGACUCAGUGACUUCAUAAAAUAUUGAAGUGGUUCAGGUAGAGCCAGUUUUUAAAUGACCAUGAACACUGAGCGUAUUGUAUCUGUACAGCAUGUUUCUCUAUUAGACAGA